rnacentral:rRNA from 1 species
UACAGAGGUCUCAAGCGUUGUUCGGAUUCAUUGGGCGUAAAGGGUGUGUAGGUGGCGCGCUAAGUCGGGUGUGAAAUUUCGGAGCUUAACUCCAAAACUGCAUUCGAUACUGGCGUGCUUGAGGACUGGAGAGGAGACUGGAAUUCAUGGUGUAGCAGUGAAAUGCGUAGAGAUCAUGAGGAAGACCAGUGGCGAAGGCGGGUCUCUGGACAGUUCCUGACACUGAGACACGAAGGCCAGGGGAGCAAACGGG